UGGCCAAAAUAUCCCAAGCCUGUAUUGUUGUUUGGGUUUUGGAAAUUUUGUCAAACACAGACAUAUCGAUGUCCUGGUGUAUUUGGGAUAAGGCCAUACUAUCACGCCUUAUUUCAUUCUCUUCGGCAAAAGUGUUUCCCCGUCAACUUGGGAACCAUGCACACGAUAUUCUCCAAAAGUUGUAAUUUUGUUUCCCCGUCAACUUGGGAACCAUGCACACGAUAUUCUUUCCUGCCAUAGUUAAUGAAUCACCCUCCUAACGAACCUGUGGCUCUGAUACCAGAUGUAGGAGAACAAUUUAAAGAUAGAAGACCUUUAAAUGUAAGAAGGAAAGAGAUUUUGUUUAGUUGAUAAAUGAAGAAA
rnacentral:lncRNA from 1 species